rnacentral:rRNA from 1 species
AUAGGUAGUGUGAAUUGCAAAAUUCCGUAAAUCAUCGAAUCUUUAAACGCAUAUUGCGCCCGAGGCCUGGGCCGAGGGCAUGUCUGCCUGAGCGUC